ACUUUAGCUAUGAAGGGACCUAGUAGAUAAUAAAGUCUUUUUAGAGAACCAAUGGUUGGUGAAAAUUGGUAAGGCUUGUUAUUGAAUCCAGCCCUGAGCUUUUUAAUACCAUGAGUGAACCAAAAGGUUAACUAGGGUGGCAACGCGGGAAUACUCUCGUCCCUAAA
rnacentral:ncRNA from 1 species